ACGGGUAGCCGGCCUGAGAGGGUGGACGGCCACAUUGGGACUGAGACACGGCCCAGACUCCUACGGGAGGCAGCAGUGGGGAAUAUUGCACAAUGGGCGCAAGCCUGAUGCAGCGACGCCGCGUGGGGGAUGAAGGCCUUCGGGUUGUAAACUCCUUUCAACCAUGACGAAGCAUUAUGUGACGGUAGUGGUAGAAGAAGCACCGGCUAACUACGUGCCAGCAGCCGCGGUAAUACAAAA
rnacentral:rRNA from 1 species